UACGUAGGGGGCAAGCGUUGUCCGGAUUUAUUGGGCGUAAAGAGCGUGUAGGCGGCCAUGCAGGUCCGUUGUGAAAACUCGAGGCUCAACCUCGAGACGCCGGUGGAAACCGUAUGGCUAGAGUCCGGAAGAGGAGAGUGGAAUUCCUGGUGUAGCGGUGAAAUGCGCAGAUAUCAGGAAGAACACCAGUGGCGAAGGCGGCUGUCUGGUCCGGUUCUGACGCUGAGGCGCGAAAGCGUGGGGAGCAAACAGG
rnacentral:rRNA from 1 species